ACAAAGGUGCCGAGCAACAGAAAAGUUAAAAAAAACAACAUCACGAGUUUGUGUUAGCGCAGUUUGAAACAGGAGAGCACACCGCUGCAGAGUUCCUUUCACAACCUGUGACCUCUAUUCAGGAGUGCCAAUGCAGUCUGGAUAUCCAUCUUCAUGCCCCCCUGGAGGGUACCCUCAGCCAGGCCCUCCCGGUCCUGGAGGUUAUCCUCAGCUAGGCCCCGUUGGCCCUGGAGGAUAUUUCCAACCAUACCCCCCUGGCCCUGGAGCCUAUCCUCAGCCAUACCCUGUUGGACCUGGGGGCUACCCUCAGCCUUGUCCUCCUAUAUCUGGUGGCCACCACCAUCAUGGCUGUGUUCAGCCAGGUUGUACGCCUGGAAACUGCUGCCACACGGAACAUCAUGGUAAAGGUCAUCAUGGUCUUCAUGGUCUUCUUCAUCAACUUACACACCCUGGGCACCAUGGGCAUCAUGGGCACCAUGGGCAUCACGGGCAUCAUGGGCAUCACGGGCAUCAUGGGCAUCAUGGACAUCAUGGGCACCAUGGGCAUCACUGACAUCACAGGCAUCAUCAUUCCAGCUCAGGCAGUGAUUCUGAUUAAGAAGAUGUGGUGUGAUGGCAGCCAGAGGCUCCUGUGGAAUGCUGGGGAAAGAUGAAGAUGAGCGUCAAAUGGGUCUUUCUUAAGGGGAAAAUUCAAGACAAUGUAACAGUCUUGUGUCAUUUAAAACUUUCUGAUGUUCUUUUGAACAUGCAGUAAUAUAUAUGAUUUCCUAUAUGUCUUAUUAAAAAUCAAUUAACUGUUUAUUUAUAGUAAAAUGUCUAUAUUUUUUUCAGUGCCGUUUGAAAUGCGUCUAAUACAUGAUUCACGGCUUCUCUCAUUGCAGAGCUUUGGUCAAUAGGAAUUAUGAGCUGAUUUCAAUUUAAACUUUUUUUUGGCUUUCCUGUUUUAAGCCUUUCAUGCUCAUAUAAGGUUUUGGAACACAUAAAUUUCAAUUCUCUUAAAAUUUUUUCAUUUUACACAGUUGAACUAAUUUUCCAUCUUUUUUGACAUCAUUUUAUGGAGCGUAUUGCUAGUGAAAUUAACCAUAAGUGCGUGUUGAGUGACAACACCAUCAAGACAUUACAAGGUCACACUGUGUACUUCUUAAUUAUCCAAGUUUGUGGAGAAAAACGCCAAGAGUUCAACAGGAAUUUCGUUAGUUCUUGGCAAAUGAAUCUUGUGCAAACAAAUGUUUUCAUUGUGAAGAUUGUGUAUUUUGGAUCUUUUGUUUAAUGUCUUUUGUUCUGGUGCCAUCCUAAAUCAUUACUGCCUCACUUGGCCUGGAGGAACAGAAACAACACAAACCAUCACCUCACCUUGUCAGACCUGCUCAAUCCAGUAUAGGCUGACAGGUAGGUAGCCAGAGACUAUCAGAGCAGCAGCAACCCUGGAUGAGAUGCCAGUCCAUCAUGGAGCUCAAUCCCAAAGGGACAAUCAGCAAUUAGCGUAACCCACGUCUUUGGUGAUGUGAGAGGAAAAUCCAGGCAGACGAGAGGAGGACGAGCAAAAUUCACACAGAGAAUGCCCGGUGUAAGGAGCACUAACUACAACCUUCACUAGUAGGUGCAUUACAUUUAAAAUGUGGAAGUGUAGCCAUUAUGAAGUGUUUGCGUGUUUUCUCUUGCAUCACUACUUUUCAGUAAACGUUCUGAUUAUGAACAUCA